GUGCGAAGGUAGCGUAAUCACUUGUUCUUUAAAUAAGGACUAGUAUGAAUGGCUUCACGAAGGUUAUACUGUCUCCUAUUUCUAAUCAGUGAAACUAAUCUUCCCGUGAAGAAGCGGGAAUGACCCAAUAAGACGAGAAGACCCUAUGGAGCUUUAAACACAAUAACAAGUACUACAACAUAACAUAAAUUCCUGAAUCAAAUAUAAUACAGUACUCUGACUAUUAGUUUUAGGUUGGGGUGACCGCGGAGAAAAAUUUAACCUCCACAUUGAAAGAUAGCUUCUAAGCUAAAAAUUACAAUUUUAAGCAUCAGUAUACUGACAUUAAUUGACCCAAUUAAUUUGAGCAACGAACCAAGUUACCCUAGGGAUAACAGCGCAAUCUACUUCGAGAGCUCCUAUCGACAAGUGGGUUUACGACCUCCAUGUUGGAUCAGGGUGUCCCAGUGGUGCAGCCGCUACUAAAGGUUUGUUUGUUCAACCAUUAAAACCCUACGUGAUCUGAGU
rnacentral:rRNA from 1 species